GUCUAGCGGCCUAGGACAUCGCCCUUUCACGGCGGUAACCGGGGUUCGAAUCCCCGUAGGGACGCCA
rnacentral:tRNA from 1 species